UACGGAGGGUGCGAGCGUUGUCCGGAAUCACUGGGCGUAAAGGGCGCGUAGGUGGCACGGGUAGUCGUCGGUGAAAGCUCAGGGCUCAACCCUGAGUCGGCCGGUGAUACUCCCGAGCUCGAGUGUGGUAGAGGCCAAUGGAAUUCCGGGUGUAGUGGUGGAAUACGUAGAUAUCCGGAGGAACACCAGCGGCGAAGGCGGCUUUCUGGUCUGAUACUGACGCUGAGGCGCGAAAGCGUGGGGAGCGAUCCGG
rnacentral:rRNA from 1 species